rnacentral:rRNA from 1 species
GACGAACGCUGGCGGCGUGCUUAACACAUGCAAGUCGAGCGGUAAGGCCCUUUCGGGGGUACACGAGCGGCGAACGGGUGAGUAACACGUGGGUGACCUGCCCUCAGCUCUGGGAUAAGCCUGGGAAACCGGGUCUAAUACUGGAUAUGACUCCAUGACGCAUGUUGUGGGGUGGAAAGCCUUGUGCGGCUGAGGAUGGGCCCGCGGCCUAUCAGCUUGUUGGUGGGGUGANGGCCUACCAAGGCGACGACGGGUAGCCGGCCUGAGAGGGCGACCGGCCACACUGGGACUGAGACACGGCCCAGACUCCUACGGGAGGCAGCGGUGGGAAUCUUGCGCAAUGGGCGAAAGCCUGACGCAGCGACGCCGCGUGAGGGAUGACGGCCU